GGGUCCGUAGUCUAGUGGCAGGACACCGCCCUCACGUGGCGGAGACCCCGGUUCGAAUCCGGGCGGACCCA
rnacentral:tRNA from 1 species